AGUGUCAUAAAGUUAAUUUUCUGGUCAAGUUACGCCAAACGUAGUGUUGAAAAUGUAAAAAUAAUAAUACAUUAUUAACACUAUCACGCAUCAAAUUAACGUAGUAUUAGUACCGAAUGUCAAAUAAAAUAAUAGGUACAAUAAUUUAUACUCUACCUCUUGUUAUGUUGUUCGACUUUGUUAUCACUGUCUGAAUAGGUCAUAAUUGCAUUUAUUAGAAUUAUUAUAUUUAAGUUUAUUGACAAUUUGGAAAUAAUCUCAGCAUAAUAUAUUUAUAAAUUUAAAUGUAUAUUUUAAUCUUACAUUUUAUAUAUUUUUUUAUGUGCCAUAUUAUUAAAUAAGGUAAGCGAAUGUUCCUAGAACUUACUAAUGAUUAAGUAAUAAACGUAAAAAAUACCAGAUACUCGUGUUUUAAUCAGAACCAUACCGAUUAUGUGUCAUUUCCAUUUGUCACGUUUAUUUUGAUUUAUAGUUUUUUAGUUAUACAAAUUUUCAGUGGUAUGUGCUGUUGCGAUAAAAAUGGGAAAAACACUUCUGUCCCCAAAAAAAUACUUCAGAAGGCGAAUCACAAAGAUACUGGUGAUUUUAUGGUCGACAAGAUUAGUUUAGAUAUCAAGGAGCACUACCGAGAGCUGACGCGGUGUGUAACCGCAGUAAACAAGAUGGUAGAUACGCUGUCCAAUCAGAUGUCAUGGCCGCCGGUCAGCUGUGAACGCGAGAGGCGCGACUUGGAAUGCUGCUACGAAACCCAAGAACGUUCGGGAAACUGCUCAAACGUCGUCAAGAAAUAUGUGGAUUGUGUUCGCAAUAUACUCUUCAUGAGGAUUAGAUGCAAUUGAUACUUGUAGUGGGGCUUGUUUAUUUAAAAUUAAUGUGAAAUAUAUUAUUUUUUGGCCACA